rnacentral:lncRNA from 1 species
AGUACAAGUUGGGAACAAAGAGAGUGAGGAGAUCGACAGUUAACAAGGAUAACAGAAAGAAACAGUCGAUCUACCAUACAACCGGGUCGAAACCAUUCAACAUAACGCAACAACAACUGGUAUGAAUUAAAUUUGAAAGUGCAUUAGUUUCCUAAAUUUCGAAACUAAACUUCAUGUGUACAUUGUUUCACAGGAGGAAGAAAAAGGAGGGCCAAUUAGUAGGGGGACCUCUUUCGAGAAACUUACAAGCCAGGUAAGAAGAAGAAAAAGUUCCCCAAUAAUGCGACGAAGGAGAUAUACGUAAGUAUUCAAGUAUCCUAAAUUUUAUAUGAACUUUAAUUUGUACGUUCUUUAUAAGUAUUCAAGUAUCCUAAAUUUUAUAUGAACUUUAAUAUGUAUGUAUGGUGGAAAUACAUUCUUAACUGUAUAUAUUUUCUUUUUUGUGCAUGCAGAAUCAAGUGGGAAGGAAUAUCAACGAUCCAACCAUUGAUAAU